rnacentral:rRNA from 1 species
AGAAUCAACGCUGGCGGCGCGCCUAACACAUGCAAGUCGAACGAAGUCGGAGCAACGGUGUAAGUGGCGUACGGGUGAGUAACACGUGGAUCAUCUACCUCUUAGUGUGGAAUAACCAUGGGAAACCGUGGCUAAUACCGCAUAAGUCCGUGAGGAGAAAGCAGCAAUGCGCUGAGGAGGAGUCCGCGGCCGAUUAGCUAGUUGGCAGGGUAAAAGCCUACCAAGGCAGAGAUCGGUAGCCGGCCUGAGAGGGCACACGGCCACACUGGCACUGAAACACGGGCCAGACUCCUACGGGAGGCAGCAGUGGGGAAUAUUGGACAAUGGGCGAAAGCCUGAUCCAGCAAUGCCGCGUGUGUGAAGAAGGUCUUCGGAUUGUAAAGCACUUUCGGCGGGGACGAUGAUGACGGUAUCCGCAGAAGAAGCCCCGGCUAACUUCGUGCCAGCAGCCGCGGUAAUACGAAGGGGGCUAGCGUUGCUCGGAAUGACUGGGCGUAAAGGGCGCGUAGGCGGUUCAUCAAGUUAGAUGUGAAAUUCCUGGGCUUAACCUGGGGGCUGCAUUUGAUACUGGUGGGCUUGAGUGUGGAAGAGGGUCGUGGAAUUCCCAGUGUAGAGGUGAAAUUCGUAGAUAUUGGGAAGAACACCGGUGGCGAAGGCGGCGACCUGGUCCAUAACUGACGCUGAGGCGCGAAAGCGUGGGGAGCAAACAGGAUUAGAUACUCUGGUAGUCCACGCUGUAAACGAUGUGUGCUUGGAUGUUGGGCAACCUAGUUGUUCAGUGUCGUAGCUAACGCGAUAAGCACACCGCCUGGGGAGUACGGCCGCAAGGUUGAA